UUUCAUGUAAACUAAUCGUGGAAGACUUGACAAAAGAAAAGAAUUUGAGGUUUAAAUGCAAAAACAAAAGUAAACAUGCAAAUGCAAGUGAUUCAAUGGUUGAGGAAAAACUAUGAAUGAAUGGUGUUGUUGGGGUUUACAAUUUCAUCUUAUCCACUCUCAUUUAUCUACUCUUCUUAUUUAAUUCACUUAUUUAUCUAAUUGCAUGCAAACUUUCUUGGUCUACCCUUAACUCAAUCCCUUGGUGAAAAGAGCCUACUAUUAAUUACCAGCUUGCUAUCCCUAGCCUCCCCUAGUAACUGAUAAUGCAUAGCGAACGGAAGCAAAAUACAAUUGAUCGUCCUACCCCUAUCCCUAGGCGGUAUUAGCAUAAUCAAGGAAUUUCCCACCAGUUCAUGACAUUACCGUACGUCCCCGUAUCAAUAAAGACAAACGACUUUUACUGAAUGAGAUAAACAAUAAAAGCAUUAAGCAUA
rnacentral:lncRNA from 1 species